rnacentral:rRNA from 1 species
AUUGAACGCUGGCGACAUGCCUUACACAUGCAAGUCGAACGGCAGCACGGGUGCUUGCACCUGGUGACGAGUGGCGAACGGGUGAGUAAUACAUCGGAACAUGUCCUGUAGUGGGGGAUAGCCCGGCGAAAGCCGGAUUAAUACCGCAUACGAUCUACGGAUGAAAGCGGGGGACCUUCGGGCCUCGCGCUAUAGGGUUGGCCGAUGGCUGAUUAGCUAGUUGGUGGGGUAAAGGCCUACCAAGGCGACGAUCAGUAGCUGGUCUGAGAGGACGACCAGUCACACUGGGACUGAGACACGGCCCAGACUCCUACGGGAGGAAGCAGUGGGGAAUUUUGGACAAUGGGCGAAAGCCUGAUCCAGCAAUGCCGCGUGUGUGAAGAAGGCCUUCGGGUUGUAAAGCACUUUUGUCCGGAAAGAAAUCCUUGGCCCUAAUACGGUCGGGGGAUGACGGUACCGGAAGAAUAAGCACCGGCUAACUACGUG